rnacentral:piRNA from 1 species
UGCCAUCUGGGACUGCUGACUUUGC